GGGGCCAUAGCUCAGUCGGUUAGAGCAUGCGACUCAUAAUCGCCCGGUCCUCGGUUCAAGCCCGAGUGGCCCCA
rnacentral:tRNA from 2 species